UACGUAGGGUGCAAGCGUUAAUCGGAAUUACUGGGCGUAAAGCGUGCGCAGGCGGCUAUGCAAGACAGAUGUGAAAUCCCCGGGCUUAACCUGGGAACUGCAUUUGUGACUGCAUGGCUAGAGUACGGCAGAGGGGGAUGGAAUUCCGCGUGUAGCAGUGAAAUGCGUAGAUAUGCGGGGGAACACCGAUGGCGAAGGCAAUCCCCUGGGCCUGUACUGACGCUCAUGCACGAAAGCGUGGGGAGCAAACAGG
rnacentral:rRNA from 1 species